rnacentral:rRNA from 1 species
CAAUCUGCCUUGGAGUGGGGAAUAACGGUUGGAAACAGCCGCUAAUACCGCAUGAUGCAUUGGAGUCGCAUGAUUUUGAUGCCAAAGAUUUAUCGCUCUGAGAUGAGCUCGCGUCUGAUUAGCUAGUUGGCGGGGUAACGGCCCACCAAGGCGACGAUCAGUAGCCGGACUGAGAGGUUGGCCGGCCACAUUGGGACUGAGACACGGCCCAGACUCCUACGGAAGGCAGCAG